UCCAUAAGAGGGGUUACGGACUUCUUAUUUCCGCAGAAAGGGACGCAAGUGUAAUUUGAUGGCAAUAAUCCGGCUUCCUAAUCCUGUGGGUUCGCGGGGAUUCGAGGAAAUGUUGUAAGUAACUGACAGAAUCCCACCUCUUGGCUGUGACAGGACACUAGCGCGUAUCCAUAUUCAGCCUGCUCGUGUAAUUUCAGCAAUUGAUAAUCUCACAUGUUUAGAAAUGCUUUUGUUAUUCUGAAGGUUUAAUCACCCUGGGGAUUGUGCUACCAUGUGCACGGAGUAUUUGCUGUUCCUCGUCAGAAGAAUUAUUGGAAACUCACACCGUUUCCUUUUAUGGGUUUGGCAUGGUGGAGUGGCACGAUAAAAAAAUGAACCAUUCUCCUUGAACAUUGACAACCACAGUGGCACUUUGUUAAGGAGGUUCAGCUCAACACCUUAAAACUCAUAUAUUUCUAGCCCUAACAGGUUUAAUCAAGGAGAAUUGCAUGACCGUCUUCUCCCAGAGGAGUUCGGCAUCAUCAUUUAUUUACUAAAUGAGUGUUUUUAACGCAAUGUUACCCAACUUGACUUUUGCAUUUAUCUCUCCG
rnacentral:sRNA from 1 species